AGAGAAUAGGAGAAGGCAGUAUUUUGCCUUUCCCAGUAGAUUCAGGCAAAGCCAAACUGCUGCAGCAUGUCCUUACUUGCUUCUUUAUUCUAAUUAGGAGCGUUUGCCUCUUGACCGGACUCUGAUAUUGCUUGGUCAUAGUUUCUAUAUGUGACAUGUUGGGUAGUAUUUAAAUGGAGACAAGCUCUGAUGACAGAUGGAUGUCUCUUAUCAGCACAAUCUAAUUCAUAUCUGCUGAAAAGUGAAUUGAAAGGGACUUGUUGCAAUGUGUAUACAGGACCGCAGACUAGCAGAAGGUGGUAGUUAACAAUUCUUCAUAUUCUUCACUUUUAAUAAAAAGAACUUUUAAAUGGUGCUUUAAAAUAACUAGAAAAAGGAAGGAGAUAGUUUAAAAAGAGCCACGAGAGCAGCUGUUUGAAAUCUGGAAAUGCUGCAAAACAUUCCUGAGUUUGUUUUAGAAGUCUGCUGUAACAAUAGGGAUUGUAAAGUUCUCAUUUGGUUUCUACUUUUUUGUCCUGUCCAUCUGGUUGUCCUCCUUAACGGUGGCUAUUGUCAGUGGAUUCUGCUGCAUUGAUGAUCUUCUAUUUGGUUGUCGACUUACAGUGAUCCUAUGGAUGAGACACCUUCAAGUCACCCUGUUAUCAAUAGCUCUGCUGUGGAGAGGAAGAGAAUCUAGCUCCUUCAUAAUUGUCCUUUCCAGUCCUAGCAUUCUUCUGAUUUCUUGUCUAGCAUCGCAAUUCUAAUUAAUGACUGAAACAAGUUGUUUCAAGGGAAGCCUACAAAAAUGCAGUUGCUCUACAAAUCAGUCUUCGCACCAGAGAGGGGCUGUUUUUGACACGACACCAUUAAUGGAAGCAAUAAAAUGCAAGAGGAAGAGGAGGAAGAAAGAGGAAGCAGCAUGGCGCCACUGAGCCCAUCAUUAUCACUCGCGGAGCCCCAAGGGCUCUGUGGAGCACAGUUUGAAAACCUCUGAUGUAGAGUAUUUGAUAGCAAUCUACAGUCACAUAUGUACACACCACCAAGACACUACUCUUGAAAGGCAAUCAUACUUGGUUGCGGGUGAUAGCCUAUGAUGAUGUUUCAUGGAAAACAGUGAUAUCCACUUCAUCUCUUCCUUGCCACAACUCGACAAAUCUCUGUGUUUUGGAAAUGGACUAUCAACAUACUUGUUAUCAUUUCAAAUUAUGACCUGAUUCCAGAUCUGGAGCCCUGUUUUAGUUUCAUCAGCCUGGGAAAGAACUUCUUUCCCACUAUAUUUUAGUCUGGUGGUAAAAAAAAAAUGAAGGCGUUCAUGCGUGUUUGUAGUGAUUCCCUUUCUUCUGUCUUAAGUUGGAUGAUAUUUCUAAAUAUUGUGCUGUCUAAACUGAUGCACAGAUGGUAUCUGUCUAAAUUUUUCCCUAUGAAAAAUACCUAUGUUGUUGUUACUACGGUCCCUUUGCAGGAAGCGACACAUAAACAGAAUGGAAUCUGCAUUUACAGUUUGUUCAAGCAAACGUUAUAGCUCUUAUAAGAAAUAAGACUAUAACCUGUCAUUGUCUCCACACAAUUCUAACUCUAAACAGUUUAUAAAAUGUAUUCUUAUCUACGUUCUAUAAUUGCAUAUCUCAUAUGAAUGCAUCACCAGCCAGCUGUUGUUCUGCCUGCCUGCCCCAUAAUAGAAACACUGCAUUUUCCCAUUGCAGCCAUUGCUAUUCUUAACAUACACUGGCCUCAACUAGCUAAAAAUACUAGUGUUCAAUUGCUUGUGGGAAAGUUAUACAGCAGCUAUUUCUAUUAAAAUGUUGAAUGUUGGAUCUUUACAUAGUUUCUCUUAUUGUGCAUGCUGUUCACAGCUUUCUUCUUUUGGCUCAGUUACGAAUAUUUAAACAUCACAUAUGGCACAUAAUACCCUAAUUCAAUCUAAUGCUUGUAUUAAUAUGAACAAUUAGACCUAAGAUUAGUACUAAGAAAUACUAGCUUAAAAUGGGUCAGGGUGCCAUAGCAACAACUUUAUUGAAAAUUAAGAGGUAUAGAUUACUGGAAGAUUAUAGACUAUGUUGGCAAAUGAUAAAAUGGGCAUUUGCAGUUGUAAAAGGACUCUCGUCUACAAGACAAAUACGUCGUUUUGGUAACAAGAAGUGACCUGCUCAUGUGUGAGUCAAGUUUGCUCGGAUGCACUUCUACAUUGAUUCCAUCCAUAAUUGAAAGGCAGGGGAAAUCAUGAUAAUUCUGCCAUGUCACCUUGACAUUGAAAAUUAAAUCACUGUUUGAAUCUUCAUGGAAAAUGUAGAUCAAGUCUCAUGGUGUGCGGAGAGUUCAAUAACUGUGGGUCAGCUUUUGAGAAUGUGCACUAUCAUCUUCUUCUUCACUCACACAGUCAUUUCCGACUCUUCAUGACCUAAUGGACCAGUCCAUGCCAGAGCUCCCUGUCGGCCAACACCGCCCCCAGCUCCUUCAAGGUCAAGCCAGUCACUUCAAGGACACCAUCCAUCCAUCUUGCCCUUGGUUGGCCAUUGCUCUCGUCCCAAGAAGUAAACGUCUUCUAAUUUCCUGGCUGCAGUCUGCAUCUGCAGUGAUCUUCGCACCUAGAAAUAUAAAGUCUGUCACUGCUUCCACGUUUUCUCCUUCUAUUCGCCAGUUAUCAAUAGGUGUGGUUGCCAUGAUCUUGGUUUUCCUUAUGUUUAACUGCAACCCAUCUUUUGCGCUUUCUUCUUUCACUUUGGUGAUAAGGCUCCUCAGCUCCUCCUCACUUUCAGCCAUCAGAAUGGUAUCAUCUGCGUAUCUAAGAUUGUUAAUGUUUCUUCCAGCAAUUUUAACUCCGGCCUUGGAAUUGUCAAGCCCCGCAUGUUGCAUGAUGUGUUCUGCGCACAAGUUGAAUAGGGAGGGUGAAAGUAUACAGCCCUGCCACACUCCUUUCCCAAUCUUGAACCAGUCUGUUGUUCCGUGGUCUGUUCUUACUGUGGCUACUUGGUCUUUAUACAGAUUUUUCAGAAGAUAGACAAGGUGACUUGGUAUCCCCAGACCACCAAGAACAUGCCACAGUUUAUUAUGAUCCACGCAGUCGAAGGCUUUAGAAUAGUCAAUAAAGCAGAAGUAGAUGUUUUUUUCUGGAACUCCCUGGCUUCCUCCAUUAUCCAGCAGAUAUUGGCAAUUUGGUCUCUGGUUCCUCUGCCUUUUUUGAACCCAGCUUGGACAUCUGGCAACUCUUGCUCCAUGUAUUGCUAGAGUCUGCCUUGCAGGAUCUUGAGUAUUGCCUUACUGGCAAGGGAAAUAAGUGCUACUGUACGGAAGUUUGAGCAUUCUUUAGCGUUUCCCUUUUUGGGUAUGGGGACAUAAAUUGAUUUUUUCCAAUCUGAUGGCCAUUCUUGUGUUUUCGAUAUUUGCUGGCAUAUGGCAUGCAUCACCUUGACAGCAUCACCUUCCAAGAUUUUAAGCAUCUCAGCUGGGAUCCCAUCGUCUCCUGCUGCCUUGUUAUUAGCAAUGCUUCUUAAGACCCAUUCGACCUCACUCCUCAGGAUGUCUGGUUCUAAUUCACUCACCACACCGCCAAAGCUAUCCUCUAUAUUAUUAUCCUUCCUAUACAGAUCUUCUGUAUAUUCUCGCCACCUUUUCUUGAUCUCUUCAGCUUCUGUUAGGUCCUUGCCAUCUUUGUUUUUGAUCAUGCCCAUUUUUGCUUGAAAUUUACCUCCGAUGUUUCUGAUUUUCUGGAAGAGGUCUCUUGUCCUUCCUAUUCUGUUGUCUUCUUCCACUUCCAUGCAUUGCUUGUUUAAAAAUAGUUCUUUGUCUCUUCUGGUUAGCCUCUGGAAUUGUGCAUUUAAUUGGGUGUAUCUCCCCCUCUAGCUGUUUCCUUUCGCCUUCCUUCUUUCUUGGGCUACUUCCAGUGUCUCAGCAGACAACCAUCUUGCCGUCUUGAUUUUCUUUUUCUUUGGGACGUACUUUGUUGCUGCCUCCUGAACAAUGUUGUGAACUUCUGUCCAUAGUUCUUCUGGGACUCUAUUUAUUAAAUCUAGUCCCUGAAAUCUAUUCUUCACCUCCACUGCAUAAUCACUAGGAAUGUUUGUUAGGUCAUAUCUAAUUGGUCUGUGUAUUUUCCACAUUCUCUUUAGUUUGAUUUUGAAUUUUGCAAUAAGAAGUUCGUGGUCUGAACUACAGUCAGCUCCAGGACUUGUUUUCACCGACUGGAUAGAUGUCCGCCACCUUUGGCUGCAGAGGAUGUAGUCAGUCUGAUUUUGGUGUUGACCAUCUGGUGAAGUUCAUGUGUAAAGCUGUCUUUUAGGUUGUUGGAAGAGAGUGUUUGUUAUGCACAUUGAGUUUUCCUGGCAAAAUUCUAUCAGCCUAUAUCCUGCUUCAUGUUGUUGUCCCAGACCAUGCUUGCCUGUGAUCCUGGUUAUCAUUUGACUGCCCACCUUAGCAUUCCAAUCUCCUGUAAUGAGAAUAAUGUCUCUUUUUGGUGUAUUAGCCAAUAGGUGCUGCAGAUCCUCAUAGAACUGAUCUAAUUCUGCUUCUUCAGCAGCUGUGGUUGGGGCAUAUAUUUGGAUCACUGUGAUGUUAAACGGCUUGCCUUGAACUCGAAUUGAGAUCAUUCUAUCAUUUUUUGGGUUGUAUCCAAUCACUGCUUUCGCAGCUUUAUUAUUAACUAUGAAGGCUACUCCAUUUCUUCGGUGUUCCUCUUGUCUGCAGUAGUAGAUCUUUUGUGAAGUGGCCCAUUCCAGUCCAUUUCAGUUCACUGACUCCCAGAAUGUCUAUCUUUUAUCUUGACAUCUCACCGAAAACCACGUCCAGUUUGCACUAUCAUACACCCAAGAAUAUCAGGAAAGACACACUUCAUCUUAGAGAUUGGUUGGUUUCUUCUUUGCAAUUAAUUUUUAUUCUACUCUUUUCCCACUAUUUAAUUCAAGUUGGUUUGUAAUAUAUAUUAAAACAGAACUUGGCUAAAACAAUAUAUUAUACCAGUAUUUUUUUAAAUGACACAAACAAUACAAUUACAACAUGAAUCUUAAACUGUUAAAACAUGUGUACACAGUACAGACAAUUAAAAACCUUUGUAACCCAAUGAUCUGGUUUAAUUUUUUCAACGUCUUUGCCUGCUGGAAAAAAAGAGAGUAAAAAGAAGACCAAAGGAGUUCCUUCAAAAGUAAGUUCCAUAGUCCUACAAAGUCUGUCUUUUGUGUCCUGACCAGAUGUUUCUAUGGCUGAGCAGGAUUUUGUGGAUGGCUAGAGAAACCUAUAUCCAGAAGAUUGUAAGAUUUGGGGAGGCUCAUAAAGAAUCCAAAGUAGCCUGGGAGGGCUCAUGGAUACUUUUGAUGUCAGUAAGAGGGUAAAGAAAUCUACAUAGAGAAGGUUGUAUAUAACGAAUGGGCAUAUAAUAAUAAUAAUAAUAAUAAUAAUAAUAAUAAUAAUAAUAAUAUACUUUAUAACUCACCCUAUCUCCCCAAGGGGACCUAAAGGUGGAUGCCUACGGAAGUGGUGGUCAUCAAGGUUUCAUUGUUCUGACUUUGGGCACAUUUUUUAAAAAAAGGAAUUGUGACUAACUUACUAAUAACUAAGACUAGAUUGGGUUUUAUGGGAGAUUACUAUGAAUGGUAUAAUGUAGCUGCUAAAUGAGUCCAAAAAUGACUUUUUAAUGACUUCAUGUGUUUUUUAUUUGGAUGUAUAUCAGUUCGUAAUCAUGUUGUGUCCAUAUGAAAUAUACCCAUAAAUAGGCAUAUUUUUUUCUGUUGGAAUCCAAUAGUUCAUAAUGGAUAUUUUGGCCUCUUUUUACUUUGCUCAUUUUCCAGUAAUUUGACCAUGGGUUUGAGGUGGGGGCUGUUCAGUUUUUAAAAGCAAAUGUUAUUUGGAAAGCUUCUUAAAUAAUGAAAUAAACUGGGAAGCCUCUACCAGAAUGUCUUGACUUUUCUGGUACUAGUGAACAAAGGCCUGUUCUUUCCUAUAAUCGCUCUUGGUUUCAUUUGGAUACUCUUUAAUUGUUGGAGAUGUUCAUAUACAAAGAACUGCAGCUUACUUCACUUUUUCAUCCAUCACCUUUCUACAUAAUGUUUGAUGUUGCUUUCAUUUCCACAUCUGGCCAUGGCCUUUCCGCAGGCUUCCUUCCUUUUUUCCUGGCGAUGGCCGCUUAUGUGGAGCAGAGGUGGGACACUUAAAAUGCAGUGAUGUCAUGCCCUACAGGAGACAGAAGAGAAGGAAACUCUGGCUCUGCUGUUAUCAUGUAAAUGUGCAGUUUCACUCUAAAUAACAAAGACAGUUGGCUCCCAGAGAGACUUUGUGAAUUACAGCUUUCAAUUAUGUUACAGUUCUGACCUGGAAUUUGUCAUAUGCAUUCAUUCUGCACAUCUUUGUGGGUAUAAGAGGGAAUUAUAGGAAUCAUUUAAAGCCUUUGAAAUCUACUAUGCAAAGAAGUCUUGAGCUGAGUAGCUUAGAGGCCCUAAAGCAGGGAUCUAUGUGAACUAGCAUGUAUAUUUUGGGGAAAAUGUUUUGUGGUUUUCAGCAGGAGAUGGUGAGCAAGAGACCUUUAUCAUGGAGGUAGGAUUCAAAGGCAUAGAUGUAUUAGCCUGGAAUAUCACUAUGCAAAGGCAUCUUGUAGCACCGUUGAGACUGACAGAAUAAAGUUGGUAGUAUAAGUUUUCAUAGGAUCUAAGGAUCUCUUCUACAAGGUCCCUUUGCAUGCAUCCCUUUUUUAUUCAGGCAGGCUGAAUAAAAGGUUUUAAAGAUCAAGCCAGGGGGUGCUGUGGUUUUUAACUUUGAAUAUUUUUAAUGGUUUUUAACUGGGAAUUUAAAAACUGUUUAUAUUUAAUCCUGUCUAAAUGUUUGCAUAUUUGUAUAUUUUAAAUUGUAUUCUGAUGCUUUUAUGUUAAGCCACUUUGAGUCUUCUGCAGAAGAGAUAAAGUAGGGUAAUAAUAAUAAUAAUAAUAAUAAUAAUAAUAAUAAUAAUAAUAAUAAUAAUAAUGCAGAGACAGUUGAUGAAGCUUGUUGUGGAAGCUGAAAUGCUCUGAACCUGUGGCUAAACUUUGGUUGCAAAUAUUCAUUACCUUGCUGACUCAUAGGUCAAAGACACCACCUCAUUUGCUGGUGGACAAGCGUCAGCGAGUCUGACAAAACAAUUUCCCUGCCAUUUGGGACAAUGGUCAAUAGUUAGGUUUGACCUUAGUGGUAAAGGCAUAGAUUAGGUUUGCACAUUCCAACCCAGGCUACAAGCACUACCAACAAUAAUCAAAUAUAUGGAUAUAGUGUCCAAACUGGAGUGUUUGACAAGUUUUUUUCCCCCCCUAGUCGCCCAUGAGUAUACUGUAGUGCCAGAAAACCCAUUGUCAGCCUCCACUUUGCUUAGUCUUCAUACUAUGGCAUGGGGUUACCCUUAUCAUAGAGUCUUUGCCAGAAGGUCAGCAACUCCUUAGACCUGAAUUAUUGGAAUUUUUUUCUCUGAAAUGUGUUCCCUGUGAUGCAAUUUCUUAUCUGGAAUGCCUUGUUAUUCAAACUGACUGCAGGUCUACAUGUCAUUGUAGUCUUGUGUAAUAAAAAGCAUUGCUGGA